UGUGCGUGUAGUGGUGUGUGUGUGUAGGGGUGUGUGUAUGUGUAGUGGUGUGUGUGUGUGUAGUGGUGUGUGUGUGUAGGGGUGUGUGUGUGUGUGUGUAGUGGUGUGUGUGUGUAGUGGUGUGUGUGUGUAGUGGUGUGUGUGUGUAGGGGUGUGUGUGCAGCGGUGUGUGUGUAGUGGUGUAUGUGUAGUGGUGUGUGUAUGUGUAGUGGUGUGUGUGUGUGUAGUGGUGUAUGUGUAGUGGUGUGUGUAUGUGUAGUGGUGUGUGUAUGUGUAGUGGUGUGUGUAUGUGUAGUGGUUGGUGUAUGUGUAGUGGUGUAUGUGUAGUGGUGUGUGUGUGUAGUGGUGUGUGUAUGUGUAGUGGUGUGUGUAUGUGUAGUGGUGUGUGUGUGUAGUGGUGUAUGUGUAGUGGUGUGUGUAUGUGUAGUGGUGUAUGUGUGUAGGGGUGUGUGUAUGUGUAUAGAGGUGUGUGUAUGUAGUGGUGUAUGUGUAGUGGUGUGUGUGUAGGGGGUGUGUGUAUGUGUAGCGGUGUGUGUGUGUAGUGGUGUAUGUGUAGUGGUGUAUGUCUAGUGGUGUGUGUGUGUAGGGGUGUGUGUAUGUGUAGUGGUGUGUGUGUGUAGUGGUGUGUGUGUAUGUGUAGUGGUGUGUGUGUAGGGGUGUGUGUAUGUGUAGUGGUGUGUGUGUAGGGGUGGGUGUGUGUGUAGCGGUGUGUGUGUGUAGGGGUGUGUGUUUGU
ensembl:lncRNA